GGGAGUACGGUCGCAAGAUUAAAAUUCAAAUGAAUUGACGGGGGCCCGCACAAGCGGUGGAGCAUGUGGUUUAAUUCGAUGCAACGCGAAGAACCUUACCUACUCUUGACAUCCAGAGAACUUUUCAGAGAUGGAUUGGUGCCUUCGGGAACUCUGAGACAGGUGCUGCAUGGCUGUCGUCAGCUCGUGUUGUGAAAUGUUGGGUUAAGUCCCGCAACGAGCGCAACCCUUAUCCUUGUUUGCCAGCGAGUAAUGUCGGGAACUCCAGGGAGACUGCCGGUGAUAAACCGGAGGAAGGUGGGGACGACGUCAAGUCAUCAUGGCCCUUACGAGUAGGGCUACACACGUGCUACAAUGGCGCAUACAGAGGGCGGCCAACUUGCGAAAGUGAGCGAAUCCCAAAAAGUGCGUCGUAGUCCGGAUUGGAGUCUGCAACUCGACUCCAUGAAGUCGGAAUCGCUAGUAAUCGUGGAUCAGAAUGCCACGGUGAAUACGUUCCCGGGCCUUGUACACACCGCCCGUCACACCAUGGGAGUGGGCUGCAAAAGAAGUAGGUAGUUAAC
rnacentral:rRNA from 1 species